rnacentral:lncRNA from 1 species
UUUUGUUUGUUUGUUCAAUUUGCCCACUGAACAUGGAUUGAAGCUCUUAUUUUUCGAACUCUCAAAGUGCAUCAAAUUUAAUUAAUUUACUUUUAAAAAUGUUUUACAGUUUUUCUCCUAAAUUCAGUUUUUCUACAUAGCUGUUUCAGUGAUGCAAAUUAUCAUUCCUUGUUGAUGUGCAAAAAGUCCAAAGAUAUCUUUAUUGCUAAAUCCUAUGUUAAUUUUUGUAUGUAAAUUUUACUUUGUUCUCAAAUUAUUCUGGGUUUAAUCUAGUCAUUGCCCCCCCCCCCCACCCCCCAAAUCACUAAACUAAAGUGUGCUUCCUAACUGUAACAUGUUCUAUAAAAUAAAUGUUACUUUACAAUCUGAUGCUGUUGAUUAUAAAAUUACAACAUACAGGAUAUAAAAUAGAACAAAUAAAUAUUGAGAUAAAAAUAAAACCAACAAGUGUGGCUGCUGGUUCUAAACGGAUGUGACGUAGACUCAGCAGAUUGUGCAGAUGGCCAAAUUGGCGCCGUUUAAUGUUCCUGCAAAGUCUAGCACGAUGUCUACCACUGGCACAUACACGUUAAAAAGAGGCUCUCUGGCCGCAGUUCUCAGGGAGGACGAUGUUACAGUGGACAACUUGGCCAGGAUUUUCAAGAUUACACAGUCAAGUGUUUACUUGACCAAUGACAUGGGGAUUUCAGUUUUCCCAGGUUCAUCUGGAUUCUUCAGUUGUUUGGACCUCAUGAAUGGUGGGAGUACCUUCCAGGUGAUGGGUGAUGAUGCAUGUGGGCCACUCCCUAGCCCAGUCCCAUUUCACCCAAACCCUGGACAAAGUCGACCUCGUUUCAGCUUUUCCCGAUCUGCCACUGCAACAGUUACACGUGCAGUUAGUCCUGCAGUUAGCCCCAAAAUGUAUCAAAGAACCAUUUUCCUUCGACAACUUGAGGGUGACAAACUAGUGCAGGACAAGGCAUUAGUUAUUCCUUUCGAGGAGAGUGAGGCCUGUUUGUCAACAAUGAAAACAAAAGUAAAAGAAGCCCUUGCUUUGGGUCCUGAAACAAGCAUAGUCUUGACUGAUAGUCAAGGAAAUUUGCUUAUCGAUACCCCUGGAAUUAAAGGGUCUGCGUAUUGGAAACAGAGCUCCAGACGUAUUUUUGCAAUAGCAGAGGACGUAUUUGCAGAGAUGGGGAGGAGGAAACGUAGGAAACUAGGGCAAACUUCAAGACAUGAGGACUCUGGGCUCUGUGACAUAAAAGACAAAAUCGAGGAGGUCCUUCUAGCAUCGGAGGGUUUACCGGCUGUUUCAGCCAAGCUGAGAGAGCUGUGCAAGCGUAGCGAGGGCCUUACUGAACAGCAGAGUGAGGUUCUAAGAACCUCGUUCAAGUGCUGUGUGUGCAGAGGAGUGAUGGACAGUCCCGUAUUGGCACGCUGCUGUCGCAGUCUAAUUGGCUGUAGACAGUGUGUUGAUUUAUUUGUUCAGGAAGGUCAAGCAUGUGUAAAAUGCAGGUCUGCCAUUUCAAGAGAAUCAAUUGUGGUUGUUGCUGGCCUCUCUGAAGUUUAAAAUGUUAUUAAGGCCUUAGAUGAGUCAGUACAGCUUCGGCCUUG